rnacentral:tRNA from 1 species
GGAGAGAUGCCAGAGUCCGGUUUAUCGGGGCCGCCUCGAAAGCGGUUGUGCCGCAAGGUACCGGGGGUUCGAAUCCUCCUCUCUCCGCCA